rnacentral:rRNA from 1 species
UACAGAGGGUGCGAGCGUUAAUCGGAAUUACUAGGCGUAAAGGGUGCGUAGGUGGUGGCAUAAGUUAGGUGUGAAAGUCCUGGGCUUAACCUGGGGAUUGCGCCUAAUACUGUGAGGCUUGAGUAUUGUAGAGGAAAGUGGAAUUUCCGGUGUAGCGGUGAAAUGCGUAGAUAUCGGAAGGAACAUCAGUGGCGAAGGCGACUUUCUGGACAAAUACUGACACUGAGGCACGAAAGCAUGGGGAGCAAACAGG